rnacentral:rRNA from 1 species
GACGAACGCUGGCGGCGUGCUUAACACAUGCAAGUCGAACGGUGAAGCGCCUUCCUUUUUGGUGGGUGUGGAUGAGUGGCGAACGGGUGAGUAACACGUGAGUAACCUGCCCCCUUCUUCUGGAUAACCGCAUGAAAGUGUGGCUAAUACGGGAUAUUCUGGGUCUGUCGCAUGAUGGGUCUGGGAAAGAUAUUGUUUCGGUGGGGGAUGGGCUCGCGGCCUAUCAGCUUGUUGGUGGGGUGAUGGCCUACCAAGGCGGUGACGGGUAGCCGGCCUGAGAGGGUGGACGGUCACACUGGGAGUGAGACACGGACCAGACUCCUACGGGAGGCAGCAGUGGGGAAUAUUGCACGAUGGGCGCAAGCCUGAUGCAGCGACGCCGCGUGAGGGAUGGAGGCCUUCGGGUUGUGAACCUCUUUCGCCAGUGAAGCAGGCCUGCCUCGUUUGUGGGUGGGUUGACGGUAGCUGGAUAAGAAGCGCCGGCUAACUACGUG